rnacentral:lncRNA from 1 species
AAAAUCCAAGUCAACUAGUAUACCAUCUUUAAUCAACCUUUCCAUUCUUUCUUUAGAAAUAUGACCCAGCCUUUUAUGCCACAACAUGGAAGAGUUUUCAAUGGAUCUGGUACGUUUAGAACCAACUACAGCAUUCACAACAGAUAUACUAGAAGAAGUAGAAUCUAAAGCAGGAAACAAGUUAAUUCUAUACAAACCAUCAUAUAAUGUAGUAGUACCAACCAC